AUUGAACGCUGGCGGCAUGCCUUACACAUGCAAGUCGAACGGCAGCACGGGUGCUUGCACCUGGUGGCGAGUGGCGAACGGGUGAGUAAUAUAUCGGAACGUGCCCUAGAGUGGGGGAUAACGUAGCGAAAGUUACGCUAAUACCGCAUACGAUCUACGGAUGAAAGUGGGGGAUCGCAAGACCUCAUGCUCCUGGAGCGGCCGAUAUCUGAUUAGCUAGUUGGUGGGGUAAAAGCCUACCAAGGCGACGAUCAGUAGCUGGUCUGAGAGGACGACCAGCCACACUGGGACUGAGACACGGCCCAGACUCCUACGGGAGGCAGCAGUGGGGAAUUUUGGACAAUGGGGGAAACCCUGAUCCAGCAAUGCCGCGUGUGUGAAGAAGGCCUUCGGGUUGUAAAGCACUUUUGUCAGGAACGAAACGGUGGGGGCUAAUAUCUCCUGCUAAUGACGGUACCUGAAGAAUAAGCACCGGCUAACUACGUGCCAGCAGCCGCAGUAA
rnacentral:rRNA from 1 species